rnacentral:rRNA from 1 species
AUAAACGACUCUCGGCAACGGAUAUCUCGGCUCACGCAUCGAUGAAGAACGUAGCAAAAUGCGAUACUUGGUGUGAAUUGCAGAAUCCCGUGAACCAUCGAGUUUUUGAACGCAAGUUGCGCCCGAAGCCAUUCGGCCGAGGGCACGCCUGCCUGGGCGUCACG